AUCACUUUUACCUUGAGCUUCAUUAGCAAGGCAGUAGUCGUCUUGAAGGUGUGUUUGGAGUCGUUAUCACGUUGGAAUACUGCCCUGCGCCACAGUCUCCAAAAGUACGGGAUCAUGCUGUGCUUCAGUAUGUCACAGUAAAUGUUGGCAUUCAUGGUUCCCUCAAUGAACUGUAGCUCCCAAGUGCCGGCAGGACUCAUGCAGGCC